CACGGGGGGCCUACGGGAGGCAGCAGUCGAGAAUUUUUCACAAUGGGCGCAAGCCUGAUGGAGCGACGCCGCGUGGGGGAUGAAGGGCUUCGGCCCGUAAACCCCUGUCAUUUGCGAACAGACCUUGCCUGAUAACACCAGGCGAGCUGAUUGUAGCGAAAGAGGAAGGGACGGCUAACUCUGUGCCAGCAGCCGCGGUAAUA
rnacentral:rRNA from 1 species